rnacentral:rRNA from 1 species
AGGGAAGUGCCUCGCAAGAGGAGCCUGGAGACAGGUGCUGCAUGGCUGUCGUCAGCUCGUGUCGUGAGAUGUUGGGUUAAGUCCCGCAACGAGCGCAACCCUUGUCUUUAGUUGCCAUCAUUCAGUUGGGGCACUCUAAAGAGACUGCCGGUGUCAAACCGGAGGAAGGUGGGGAUGACGUCAAGUCCUCAUGGCCUUUAUGACCAGGGCUACACACGUACUACAAUGGCCGGUACAAAGGGCAGCCACUUAGCGAUAAGGAGCCAAUCCCGUAAAGCCGGUCUCAGUCCGGAUUGUAGGCUGCAACUCGCCUACAUGAAGUCGGAAUCGCUAGUAAUCGCGGAUCAGCAUGUCGCGGUGAAUACGUUCCCGGGUCCUU